rnacentral:rRNA from 1 species
UCGGGAAUUUUGGGCAAUGGGGGAAACCCUGACCCAGCAACGCCGCGUGAAGGAUGAAGUAUUUCGGUAUGUAAACUUCGAAAGAAUAGGAAGAAUAAAUGACGGUACUAUUUAUAAGGUCCGGCUAACUACGUGCCAGCAGCCGCGGUAAUACGUAGGGACCAAGCGUUGUUCGGAUUUACUGGGCGUAAAGGGCGCGUAGGCGGCAAUUCAAGUCAUCUGUGAAAUCUCCGGGCUUAACUCGGAACGGUCAGAUGAUACUGCUUUGCUAGAGUGCAGAAGGGGCAAUCGGAAUUCUUGGUGUAGCGGUGAAAUGCGUAGAUAUCAAGAGGAACACCUGAGGUGAAGACGGGUUGCUGGGCUGACACUGACGCUGAGGCGCGAAAGCCAGGGGAGCAAACGGGAUUAGAUACCCGCGUAGUCCCUGAGCGGGCUGGCAAGGCGCAU